rnacentral:tRNA from 1 species
AGCACUCCCUUGGUAAGGGAGAGGUCGAGAGUUCAAUUCUCUCCGGCAGCACCA